AACGAACGCUGGCGGCAUGCCUAACACAUGCAAGUCGAACGAGACCUUCGGGUCUAGUGGCGCACGGGUGCGUAACGCGUGGGAACCUGCCCUUGGGUUCGGAAUAACAGCUGGAAACGACUGCUAAUACCGGAUGAUGACUUCAGUCCAAAGAUUUAUCGCCCAAGGAUGAGCCCGCGUAGGAUUAGCUAGUUGGUGAGGUAAAGGCUCACCAAGGCGACGAUCCUUAGCUGGUCUGAGAGGAUGAUCAGCCACACUGGGACUGAGACACGGCCCAGACUCCUACGGGAGGCAGCAGUGGGGAAUAUUGGACAAUGGGCGAAAGCCUGAUCCAGCAAUGCCGCGUGAGUGAUGAAGGCCUUAGGGUUGUAAAGCUCUUUUACCCGGGAUGAUAAUGACAGUACCGGGAGAAUAAGCUCCGGCUAACUCCGUG
rnacentral:rRNA from 1 species